GCAGCAUGGCCGAGUGGUAAAGCGGAGGACUGCAAAUCCUUUUUCCCCAGUUCAAAUUCGGGAGGAA
rnacentral:tRNA from 1 species